GAUGAAGAACGUAGCGAAAUGCGAUAAGUAAUGCGAAUUGCAGAAUUUCCGUGAGUCAUCGAAUCUUUGAACGCACAUUGCGCCCACUGGUAUUCCGGUGGGCAUGCCUGUUCGAGCGUCUUUAUCCUCCCUCAAACCCCGGGUUUGGUGUUGGACCCAAGUUGUGUGAACAACUGGUCUCAAAGACAAUGACGGCGUCCGUGGGACCCUCGGUGCAACGAGCUUUUAGGAGCACGCAUCGAGUUGCAAGGACCUUCCGGGCCGGUCUCCUUUACCAUUUUACAAGGUUGACCUCGGAUCAGGUAGGAAUACCCGCUGAACUUAAGCAUAUCAAUAAGCGGAGGA
rnacentral:misc_RNA from 1 species